rnacentral:rRNA from 1 species
GCCCGACUCAGGAAGGGCCGUAUUUAUUAGAUAUCAGCCAAUAAGCGUCAGCUAUUGUGGUGACUCAUAGUAACUUAAUCGGAUCGCAUGGGCUCGUCCCGCGACAAACCAUUCAAGUUUCUGCCCCAUCAUGCUUUCGAUGGUAGUGUAUUGGACUACCAUGGCUUUCACGGGUAACGGAGGAUUAGGGUUCGAUUCCGGAGAGGGAGCCUGAGAAACGGCUACCACUUCCACGGAAGGCAGCAGGCGCGUAAAUUACCCAAUCCUGAUUCAGGGAGGUAGUG